rnacentral:rRNA from 1 species
UACAGAGGUCUCGAGCGUUGUUCGGAUUCAUUGGGCGUAAAGGGUGCGUAGGUGGCGCUGUAAGUCGGGUGUGAAAUCCUGGGGCUUAACCCCGGAACUGCGUUCGAUACUGCAGUGCUUGAGGACUGGAGAGGAGACUGGAAUUCAUGGUGUAGCAGUGAAAUGCGCAGAGAUCAUGAGGAAGACCAGUGGCGAAGGCGGGUCUCUGGACAGUUCCUGACACUGAGGCACGAAGGCCAGGGGAGCAAACGGG